ACUCAAAUAUCAGACGUCACUUUAUUAAGCAACCAGUUAGAUAAAUACUCAGAGAAGAGGCUGGAACUCUAUUUCCAAACUCUUUUUGGCAAUGGAAUUUGGUGUCAUUAAGCUAUCUUCGCCUCUGUCUUCUUCAGCUCUCAAUCUCCAGGAUUAUUCAUCACCUGUUGGUAGGAAUCAUUUUAAAAAGUCUUUACAUCCUCAGUUGCUGUCCUCUCCACUUCCUAAACCCUUUCUUCAACUUAAUGACAGACCACACAGCUUUCCCUACCAACAAAACUCUGAUCAUCUCUCCCCAAGAACGUAUCGAAGAUCCAUAUCAGCAGAAGCUGGAAAGCAGAGUUGGGACUUGGGUAGAUUUUUGAAAACAAUAUUUUUCUUCAACGAACCUCCCACUCCUGCUAAGUUCUUUGAGUUUGUAAGUGAGAAACUAUCCAGCCCAUCACCUAGUAAACCAGAAAAGAAAAUGGAAACUUCUGGCAUUGUCCUAGUGGCUGGAGCAACUGGUGGUGUAGGUCGAAGGGUGGUCGACGUCUUAAGGAAGAAAGGGCUUCCGGUCCGAGUAUUGGUUAGAAAUGAAGAGAAAGCAAGGAAAAUGUUAGGCCCGGAUGUUGACUUGAUUGUUGGAGACAUUACUAAGGAGAGUACUCUGGUUCCCGAGUACUUCAAAGGAGUGAGGAGAGUGAUUAAUGCUGUUUCUGUCAUUGUUGGUCCAAAGGAAGGUGACACUCCUGACAGGCAAAAAUACAGCCAGGGAAUCAAGUUCUUUGAACCAGAGAUCAAGGGGGAUUCGCCUGAAAAGGUGGAGUACAUUGGAAUAAGAAAUUUGAUCAAUGCUGUAAAAGGAAGCGUUGGACUUCAAGAUGGAAAACUACUAUUUGGAUUUGAAGAUAAUAAUUAUAGGGAAUUGGCUUGGGGUGCUUUAGAUGAUGUUGUGAUGGGUGGAGUGAGUGAAAGUACAUUUCAGAUUGAUCCAAACGGUGGUGAAAAUGGUGGACCAACUGGAAUUUUUAAAGGGGUUGUUUCCACUGCAAACAAUGGUGGUUUUACCAGUAUCAGAACAAAGAAUCUAUCAACAGCUGAGGAUCUCUCUGCAUAUGAUGGUUUGGAGCUGCGCCUUAAAGGUGAUGGUCGUCGCUAUAAACUAAUUGUUCGCACAAGUCGUGAUUGGGAUACUGUUGGUUACACAGCAGGCUUUGACACUGUUGGAGACCAGUGGCAGACAGUACGUGUGCCAUUUUCUUCUUUGAAGCCGAUAUUUCGAGCAAGAACCGUAUCGGAUGCACCACCUUUUGACCCCAGCAAUAUUGUAUCAUUGCAGCUCAUGUUUAGCAAGUUUGAAUUUGAUGGGAAACUGAAUCCUACUUUUGUGGAAGGGGAAUUUAAGCUCCCAUUAUCAAGCAUACGAGCAUAUCUAAAAGAGCCUAUUACUCCCAGGUUCGUACACGUCGGUUCUGCAGGAGUUACCCGACCUGACAGGCCUGGACUUGAUCUAAGUAAACAACCUCCUGCUGUUCGCUUAAACAAGGAAUUGGAUUUUAUCCUGACAUUCAAGUUGAAGGGGGAGGAUUUAAUACGGGAAAGUGGAAUACCAUAUACAAUUGUGAGGCCUUGUGCAUUAACUGAGGAGCCUGCCGGAGCAGAUCUCAUUUUUGACCAAGGAGACAAUAUAACGGGUAAGAUAUCAAGAGAGGAGGUUGCUCAGAUUUGUGUUGCUGCGUUGGAAAGCCCCUAUGCAUCUGGCAAGACAUUUGAGGUUAAAAGUGUUGUGCCAUUUAGUGAGCCAUUUACAGUGGACCCUCAAAAUCCACCCCCCGAGAAGGACUACAAUGUUUACUUUAAAACUUUGAAAGAUGGAAUUACAGGAAAGGAAAUCCUCGAACAAGAUCCUGUACCAGUGUAAUGUUUUGCACACAUAGAGCUCUAUUUUCAACCUUAACUCUGUGUAUAUACUCAUAGCAGAUGAAAAGCAGAGGCUUCUACAGAACAUACAUAAGCGACCAAGAUUAUAAACUUCUGUAGGACAAAUCCACAUGACUUAAAAUGUUUCACCUGAGACGAUAGGUUCUCACUUUCAAAAGGCUAUAGCCUUGAUCAUGAUGAGGUCCAAACCUCCUGAUUAUUUAUAGAGCACACAGAGUUUGCAGCCUCGGCAUAAAAGUGAAGAUGGAGAUCAAUGUCACAGUUUUAUAUCAAAUCAAGAAGGAAAUUCCAAUGCUGCGGCUUAUAAAACUAAGAAGGGUUCAUAGAGCAAGCACUUUCUGUACACUACAGGCAGAUUGUAGAAGCUUACAGGAAAUUGGACUAUGAUUAGCUAUGAGGGUUAUUGUAGGUCAAUUUUUCAUUAAGACAUUAGCCAUAGCAAUCAAGGCUCACGACCAAUAGAGCAAGUAUUCCGGCAUUAAGUAUACAAGUUCAAUGUAAACCAAGAGUAAUUUGACCCAAUUAGUGCGC